rnacentral:rRNA from 1 species
CUCCAUUCCCGAGUGGUUCCGCUGCUAGUCAUCGACCAGACUCUCCUGCUGGUCGGUGUGACCUUGACUCUGUGCCAGGUCUGAGGAUGCCCUCCGUCGUCACCCCUUAAAACCUGUUACCCCCUUUGGGACUAGGUCGUUACGGCGCACUCACUUCUUCCGGAAGCCCAACAUUUCGAGAAAACAGUCCCUUCUUUGCCACUCGAGAUUGUAUCGAACGAUUACUGCCAUGGACUUCUUAUUCGUGGCCGAUUGAUGCACGGUCGUCGGCGCCAUUAUGCAUCCCACGCUCGCAAUUAGCCUUAAUGACCCGCAUUUCGCACGCGUCCGCCAACACGUUCUGUCUACACUUUAGGGGCCCGAGUUGGACCCUUAACGUAAACACUGACGUGCCGAUCUCACACAGUCUCCCCCCAUCUUAAGGUGCACAUCGUCACUUUACGCAUCUCUACACCUCCUUAUGGCUACCGCUUCCGUCGGGGGACCCUAUUGUGACUGCGAGUACGUGCUUUCGCACCCCUCGUUUGUCCUAAUCUAUGGGACCAUCAGGUGCGGGAUUUGCUACAGAUGAUCAACAGCCCAGAAUUAACUGAACCAUUGCGUCGAUUGCGCACUUCAUCUGGCG